rnacentral:rRNA from 1 species
AGGGUUUGAUCCUGGCUCAGAAUGAACGUUGGCGGCAUGGAUGAGGCAUGCAAGUCGUGCGGAAAGGCUUCUUCGGAAGUACUCGAGCGGCGAAAGGGAGAGUAACGCGUGGAUACUUACCUCUUAGCCCGGGAUAGCCACGGGAAACUGUGGGUAAUACCGGAUAAAAUCUUCGGAUCAAAGGUGUGAUUCCGCUGAGAGAGAGGUCCGCGUCCUAUUAGCUUGUUGGUGAGGUAACGGCUCACCAAGGCCACGAUGGGUAGCGGGUGUGAGAGCAUGGCCCGUCUCACUGGGACUGAGACACUGCCCAGACACCUACGGGUGGCUGCAGUCGAGAAUCUUCGGCAAUGGGCGCAAGCCUGACCGAGCAAUGCCGCGUGCGGGAUGAAGGCCUUCGGGUUGUAAACCGCUGUCAGAGGGUAGGAAAUGGAUUAUUCAGUAAUUCUUGACCGAUCCUCAGAGGAAGGACGGGCUAAGUUCGUGCCAGCAGCCGCGGUAAGACGAACCGUCCAAACGUUAUUCGGAAUCAUUGGGCUUAAAGGGUGCGUAGGCGGUCCGAAAAGUGGGAUGUGAAAGACUCCGGCUCAACCGGAGCGGGUCGUUCCAAACUUUCGGGCUGGAGGGAGACAGAGGCGAGCGGAACUACGGGUGGAGCGGUGAAAUGUGUUGAUAUCCGUAGGAACACCGGUGGCGAAAGCGGCUCGCUGGGUCUUUUCUGACGCUGAGGCACGAAAGCUAGGGUAGCGAACGGGAUUAGAUACCCCGGUAGUCCUAGCCGUAAACGAUGAGCACUAGACAGGAGGACCACCCAGAGUCUUCCGGUCGCACGGAAACGGUCAAGUGCUCCGCCUGGGGAGUAUGUCCGCAAGGAUGAAACUCAAAGGAAUUGACGGGGGCUCACACAAGCGGUGGAGGAUGUGGCUUAAUUCGAGGCUACGCGAAGAACCUUAUCCUGGUCUUGACAUGCAUGGAUUAGCUCCCUGAAAGGGGAGUGACGCCUUCGGGUGGAACUUGCACAGGUGCUGCAUGGCUGUCGUCAGCUCGUGUCGUGAGAUGUCGGGUUAAGUCCCUUAACGAGCGAAACCCUUGUUCCUAGUUGCCAGCGGAUCAUGCCGGGGACUCUAGGAAGACUGCCGGUGUUAAACCGGAGGAAGGUGGGGAUGACGUCAAGUCCUCAUGGCCUUUAUGACCAGGGCUGCACACGUCCUACAAUGAGGCGGACAAGGGGAAGCUAGCCCGCGAGGGUUUGCAAAUCUCUAAAACCGUCUCCCAGUACGGAUUGCAGGCUGCAACUCGCCUGCAUGAAGCCGGAAUCGCUAGUAAUCGCAGGUCAGCAUACUGCGGUGAAUAUGUUCCUGAGCCUUGUACACACCGCCCGUCAAGCCACGAGAACGGGGGGCGUCCGAAGUCGCCGAGCCAACCUUCUAGGAAGCAGGCGCCGAAGAUGAACUCCGUGAUUGGGACUAAGUCGUAACAAGGUAGCCGUAGGGGAACCUGCGGCUGGAUCACCU